rnacentral:rRNA from 1 species
GACGAACGCUGGCGGCGUGCUUAACACAUGCAAGUCGAACGGAAAGGCCCUGCUUUUGUGGGGUGCUCGAGUGGCGAACGGGUGAGUAACACGUGAGUAACCUGCCCUUGACUUUGGGAUAACUUCAGGAAACUGGGGCUAAUACCGGAUAGGAGCUCCUGCUGCAUGGUGGGGGUUGGAAAGUUUCGGCGGGUGGGGAUGGACUCGCGGCUUAUCAGCUUGUUGGUGGGGUAGUGGCUUACCAAGGCUUUGACGGGUAGCCGGCCUGAGAGGGUGACCGGCCACAUUGGGACUGAGGUACGGACCAGACUGCUACGGGAGGCAGCAGUGGGGAAUAUUGCACAAUAGGCGGAAGCCUGAUGCAGCAACGCCGCGUGCGGGAUGACGGCCUUCGGGUUGUAAACCGCUUUCGCCUGUGACGAAGCGUGAGUGACGGUAAUGGGUAAAGAAGCACCGGCUAACUACGUG